CGUAGGGCGCAAGCGUUGUCCGGAAUUAUUGGGCGUAAAGAGCUCGUAGGCGGUUUGUCGCGUCUGCUGUGAAAUCGCGAGGCUCAACCUCGCGCCUGCAGUGGGUACGGGCAGACUAGAGUGUGGUAGGGGAGACUGGAAUUCCUGGUGUAGCGGUGGAAUGCGCAGAUAUCAGGAGGAACACCGAUGGCGAAGGCAGGUCUCUGGGCCACUACUGACGCUGAGGAGCGAAAGCAUGGGUAGCGAACAGGAUU
rnacentral:rRNA from 1 species